UACGUAGGGGGCAAGCGUUGUCCGGAUUUAUUGGGCGUAAAGAGCGUGUAGGCGGCCUGAAAGGUCAGCUGUGAAAAUUCGAGGCUCAACCUCGAGACGUCGGUUGAAACCAUCUGGCUAGAGUCCGGAAGAGGAGUGUGGAAUUCCCGGUGUAGCGGUGAAAUGCGCAGAUAUCGGGAAGAACACCCGUGGCGAAGGCGGCACUCUGGGACGGUACUGACGCUGAGACGCGAAAGCGUGGGGAGCGAACAGG
rnacentral:rRNA from 1 species